rnacentral:rRNA from 1 species
AACGUAGGAGCCUAGCGUUAUCCGAAUUCACUGGGCGUAAAGCGCGUGCAGGCGGUUCGGUAAGUUGGAUGUGAAAUCUCCUGGCUCAACUGGGAGAGGACGUUCAAGACUGUCGGACUAGAGGACGGUAGAGGAAGGUAGAAUUCCCGGUGUAGUGGUGAAAUGCGUAGAUAUCGGGAGGAAUACCAGUGGCGAAGGCGGUUGCCUGGGGCUUUGCUGACGCUGAUGCGCGAAAGCGUGGGGAGCGAUCCGG